UCCUCUCUUGUACGUUCAUCACUUCUUUAUGUCUCCGAUCUUGUCUCUCCUCACUCUCCCUAAUCGCGUUUGCGAUCACUGACACACUCCUUGAUAACGCAGCCGCUACUGUCGUCUCUUCAUCUCUCUUACUACGUCCAACCUCCUCCACAUCUACACCGCCGCCGCUGGGACCGGCGGUUGUGGUUGUCGGCAUUGUUCUCCUUCUCUUCGCCGGAGAUGUGUCUGAAUACUCACUUGUAUCAGAAUCUGUGCUACUAUCCUUCUUCAACCAAGUUAUCAAACAUAAUCCAAACCAAAUUACUAGUUAAUAUAAAAAAAUAUUAAAGAUAAUGUAAUGUAUAUAUUAUUUGUACUUCUUCACUGAAAAUAAUAAAGUGUUUAAUUAAGAGUUGUAUCAAACAAAAGUAUACAUAAGAGUGUGCAUUAAACUGUAUAUUAAAGAUUUUAUUUCUCAAGUGUAAUCAGACAUAAAUUACAAAUGUAUGUUUUUCUUUAAAUGUCAGAUUAUUUAACUCUCAAAUAAUAAAAACUAAACUUAGAAGUUAAGAAGAGAGAGAAAGAAGGUACCUACUGUGGGCAGUAUUGGCUGAGCAUGAAAAGAAGGCGGUGGAGGCGGUGGCAGUAGUAGUGGUCGUGGUAACGGCUGAGACGGUGGUGGUGGCGGCGGUGGCUGAAGUGGUAACAAAACAGGUUGCUGCUGAAUGAUUUGAUGUACUUUAGGAACAACAAAUCCUAAACCUUGUUGUAUCACUUUUUGGAUUUGUCCACCGCCUGAACCGUUUCCACUACUAAUAGCAGCAGCAGCAGCCGCAACUGCAGCGGUUACAGCGGUUACGGCGGUAGAAGAAGGAAGCGUUUUACUCUCAACAACUUCAAACAAAGCUUGGUAUGUUUGAGGUAACAUAUUACUUGGUAAGCUUCUCUCUUUCCUCUCACUCUUCUCCAUCUUCCAGUACGACGCCGUUUCUCCAGCUGGAGCUGAAGAUGAAGACGACUCACCGGCGGUAAUAGACGAUUCUACCCUUCGUCUCUCGUACUCUCUAACUUUUUUGUAGUCUCUCAUGAGAUUGUCCCAUUUGUCAUUGCACUGAUUCUGACUUCUCAUACAACCUUUUCUCCAACAGUAAUCUUCUAUCCACUUCCACCGUAGCUCCGCCGGUUUAUUACUCCGGAUAUCUUGUUGCUGCUCCGGCGGUGGAAGGCCGAUGGACCGCCGCAUCCUCCUCUCAUCAUCCAUCCUCUUGGCCUCAAUGAGAACCAUCGUCUCAUUCAACGUCCAGUUGCCUUUUCUGUACUCUCUCAUCAUAACCAACCCACCACUUUGGUCAGCCAUGUUUUCUUGAAAUCUUGAAAAAUCAAGAACUAGAGAGAGAGAGAGGCUUUUGGUAGGUGUUGGAGAAAGGGGAGAAGAAAGGGAUUGUCUUGAGGUGGGGAUAGGUGUAGUGUUAUGUGUGUUUAAGUUUUGGGGAUAGUUCUGAUUAUUAUUUUAUUUUGUGGGUGUGUGAUUGAGAAGACUGGUCAAAAUCUUUUUGUUGUAGUACUAAGAUUGUCACCAAGUGCAAUGAGAAAGGACAAGUAUUGCAAUAUUGGGAGCCAAGUGAAAAGAAAACUAUGUAAUGUGUAACCCAUUCAUUCAUUAAAUUUUGUUUGUUUGUUUUGGCAACAUUCAUUCAUUAGUUUAUUAAACUGACCAUUUUCUUUUCUUUCAUUUUCUUAUAAAAUGUUCAUUCAUUCAUGUCUCUCUUAAUUUCUUUGGGGACAGGAAAUCUUAGGUGAAUCUAGCAUUUCUAAUUAUGUAUACAAUUUCAAAUAGAUGGAGUUAAUGUUUCAAUGUUUCAUAAAAUCUACUUCCCCACUGUUUCUUAAAUAAUCACAAUGGUGAACAUUUGUGAUUUGUAGAUUUAUCAAAAACGAAGUAAAUGUGGUACGUAUAAAUUUAGAGACCAACAUUAUUGGUCACAAAUUUGUGACUAUUUAGCAACGUUAUUGUGACUAUAUUUAUGAAAAUCAGAUGAGAAAUUAGUAAAUGAAAAUCGAGAAGAACAUAUCUAUUGAUUUUUUUUCUUGUUGUUAGGUUUUUCAAUCACCAUUUGCUACAUAUUUAAAUACCAUAAGUUUUCUAUGUUAUGAAAGGUAGGCAGAGCUAGACGUGUAUAUAUACACGACAAAAUAUCAAGAAAACCACAAAUGAGAACAAUGCGAUUUCGAUAAAUUUUAUUAGUUUAGGACCACAAAUAGUUCAUAAGCGGUCUUAUUCAACAAGGCAAUUGCAUGAGUGAUGUAUCUGUUUUCAAACUUAUAAGAAAUUGGAAGAUUUUGGAGGCAUCCUAUGUAGAUCUCGUUUCCAUUUUAAUAAAACAAAUAAAGUGAUGUAUAUACUUUUUUCAAACUUCGAAAAGCUAUUGGCUUUGCAUGAUGAUUGCUUCUCAUACUUUCUUUUUAAAAAGGAUUUGAUUUACGAAUCUCUAAUUCAUGUGCACGAGCUAUAAGUAGAAGAGUAUAGUUACUUUUUUAAUUGUCUUUGCCUUGAACCUUAUUUAUGCGCAUGUAUGUUUGUAGAAUAUGUGAAUGCUUAGUUUCCUUAUUAAUAUAAUUGUAUGACAAUUGGACUCCUGUAUAGGGAUUUCUUAUUAGGUUUCUUACACAAAACAUGUUUAGAAAUAUAUACACACAUGAAACAUUCCUCGGACUGGAAAGUCUCAUAGCUAGAUCCAACAUAGAAUGAAUAUAACAUCAUGCAAAUUUUCAAAGGACAUCAAACAAAGUUGUACAUAACUACAUAUAUAUAUCCUUCAAAAUUUGAAAUUAAUUUUUAGUUAAAAAAAUUUCAUUUUAUAUAUCAUUUUUGGUAAUUAUAAGAUCUUAUAUCAAAUUUGAAUUUUUGUCAUAUCUGUAAUCAAUAUAUAAAUUUUUGUGAAAAGUAAAAAAGGUUUAAUGCAAAUCGAUUUUUCAUUUCAACUACAAUUUCUAGCACCAAACAAUUAUUUGUUGGUUAAAAUUUUAUAUUAUGUAAAUAUUUUAGAAAAUCUACUGCAAUGUGACCUUAAAGUUUAAACGCAUACAAAUAUUUUUUUUUCAUAAUUUCUCACAGUAAUUAGAUGUAUCAAUGCGUUGCAUGGUGCACUCAUAACUUCUUCUUUUUUCUUAAACAGUAUCAUUUGCUCUAAAGAACUUUCUCACUAAUCAAAAUAGAUAAAAUAAUAUAUGGAUACUAAUUUGCGUACACUACGUAAGUUGCAUUGCAUGGCGAGGGAUAUUAUUACAUCCCAUAUGAAAAACACAGACCGUUCAUCAUUGUCUGCACAAUAAUACGUAAACAAUCAAGUUCCCACGUUACAAGUCUACGAUACAGAGAUAUAAGUCUUUCAUGAAAGUCUAAAAACAAAUGAUUUCUUAGGAAAUGUAAUGUAUAAGAAAAUUACGACCAACUUUUUGAAAUAUAUAUAUUUAUAUCCAAAUUUUUUUUGGAUGAUUUAUACGCGAAAAUCAAAAUUGUAUUUUUUCAUCUACAUAUAUAUAUAUAUAUAUAUAUAUAUAUACAUUACUCCGAAGUCCGAACAAACAAACGUGUGUAUCAAAUAAGAUAAGUCGAUCAGUAAUUCCAGUGCCGGCUCUAGGGGAGUGCUAGAGGAGCAAAAGCACAGAGUCCUCAAUUAUUUUUUCAAAUUUUUUUUCAAUUUUCUUUAAGGUUUUAGGGUCCAAAAUUUUCAAAAAUUAAAAACCAAUAUUAACUAAAGUCAGUUUUUAUAAAUCAGCACAAGGUAUUCAAAAAGUUUGAGCCGGCCCUGAGUAAUUCCUAUCAGUUCUGUACUAAGAACAUUGAACUAAUACUAGUGGUAUUGCUCAUGUUGUCAUGGGAAGAGCCUUGUCUACAUGUAAUUUAUACAUCCGAAAAAAAUGUUUGAUUUCAAAUAACUUGUUGAUAUAUUGCAACUCUACUUUACAACAUCACAUAUGUUCGAAAUAAAAAAUUUUCAAAAAGCUUUCAAAUAUCUUUACUUUGUUUUUAUUAAAUUUUAAAUAAUUUAAGACGUCUUUCAUGAGAAUGUGUGUGUCUAUUCUAUACCUAUACCUACAUAUUUAUAAGUAUGAUUUGCUUCAAAGUCGAUGAUAUAUCAAUAAAAUAAAUAAAGAAAUAAAAUUAAACAAGUAAAGGAUCUAUCGAAAUUUGCAUGGAGGAGUGGAUUGAAUCAUAUGUAGUUCUGCAUGCAUGGAUCGUGUAUGCUUUUCGUAAAGAUCAUAUCUCUUAGACCUUCAAAGUUUAUUUGCUUUAAAUAAAUAAAUCAAAUCUAGUAUCAAAAGCAUACAUGAAUCAAUAACAAGACCGACGUUACAUACAACCUUAACAAUCAUUAAAAUGCUAUGUCUCUAUUUCUCUCUCUCGUCUUAUUUAUGUUUGUUUGAUGGUUGACAUGCAUGCCACUAUAAUUAGUCACGUCAAAACAAUGAAACCCUAAGGUAAAAGUAUAUACUUUAAAUUUUUAAAAUGAAUAUUCUUUUUUGUCAUGAUAUGAUCAAGCUAUUGAUAUUUUGUUCUUCUUAAAAUAGUGCUUGUUCAAAAUAUGAAAUCGAAAUCUUUCACUUCAAACCAAAAAAAGAAAAGAAAAUCGAAGUCUAUACAUGCAAGGAGUCGAUAGUAUUUGCAAGGAAUUUGUGGUUUCAACUUCCAGUAAUCAUGACUCAUCACGACCCUAUAAGUAAUAAUAUGCACAAAAUCAAAAUAUACAGUAAUUAAUAAAAACUAAUUACGUUGCAUCUUUUUUCUGUACUUUUUCGAAGAAAACGGAAAGCGUGUUUUGUUUCUUCUAAACGGACGCUAAAUUCAAAUCUUGGAUGUGCCUAAUCGAUUCAAGUAGCUCAGUUUUGGACGUCCACCAGAAUUUUUCCGAUAACAUUUUCGUUUAUAUUAAUAUGAUUUGCUAAUUUCUAAGAUUUCUCGGAUGAUUUGAUGAUAUGGUUCACUUGAUGCUAAAUUACUAACUAAAAACGAAAAGAAAAGUUUUGUGGUGAAAUUGGUGAUGGAAGAAAAUGAAUAUGAGGAACUUGAUGGAUGCUCAGAAAAUUUAAAAUAGAAGUUGAUUAAGACAUUGAAAACCACUUUAAAACUAUAUUGUAAGGUUUCUUAAUUAUGUGAUAAUAUAUCGUACAAAAUUUAUAAGAAUUACUUUAUAAUAGUUUUACCUUAAAAAUAAAAUUUGAUGUGUAAAAUUAAGAGAUAGUUAGUUCAAUAUUUCACUAAAGCAAAUAAUAUAAAUUAAAACCUGUCAAAACUAACGAUGAGUAACAAAAAAAUUACACAAUCGUCUUAUCACUUUGCUUUUACAACUUUGUUUUGCGUUUUUCAGUUGAAAACAUCUAAAUAUUAGAAAUGAUAUCAUUAAACCUUUGAUAUACGGUCUUCAGUUUUUUUGGGUGAUCGUGUUUUUGAAAUCAAGUGUUUCUAGAUAUGCUGAUGCGUUGUUGCUUCAUUAAUAAGACAAAUUUGUUUUCGACAAUUUUAAUAUUUUGAUUUUGCUAAAUCUGUCGUCAAUUAAGUAGAAAAAUAAUUACACGAAAAUAUAGUAGCUAUGAUGGUGUUAAUUAACUGAAUGGGAUGUGAUGACUUUGAUUGAAAUUUACAUUUUCAUGGUUAGAAUAUCCAAAACAAUGCGUGAUCUCAAUAUUUUCUUACAUAUGCUUGAAAUUUUGUUGUGAAUUGUUUUCUAAAACUACGAAAUAAAGUUGGUAAAGCAAAUAAUAUAACGAUUGUGUUUUUCUUUUUUUUUGAAAUCCAGGAGGUUCUGGACCGAAGCCUCUAAUUCCCCAGGUCCAAAACCACAGCAUGUAAUAUUAGUUUCGUCCCAAGCGUCACUCGAACCGGCGACUUCUAAGUUUCGCGUAGGAUUUUUACCAAUUGAGCUAACGACACUUGGUAUAGCGAUUGUGUUUUGCUUGUUAGUUUUUAAGUGUUUUUCUUUUUUUGAAUUUUGUCUUUUUUAUUUUUGCAAAAAAAUUUGUUUACUCCAACCUUCAAUAAUGGAUUGAAUGUGGGUAAAGAGGACAACAUGGUACAUUUCUAGCCAAUUUGAUUUUUUAAAGAGAGGAUUAUAUGAGAAAACUAAUAAACGAGAAAACAAAAGUCCAUUUCGUCCUUUAGGACAGGACACUGAAAAGCCUGCGUCGCCACGUCAGCUUUUUUCAAGUAAUUUAAUAGUGUGCCAGCUAGGACCCCCCAAGUAUUCCCUUUGACCAAUCACUUUUGUAGGUUUGCAAUUGCAAUGCGUCUAAAUAACAUUAUUUUUGCAAUCCUUUUACUUUGGUUUUAUAUUCAUUCACUUAGGUAAAGUGAUAUCAUAAAAUAUCCAUACGAACACUUCUAACAUCCACGAGCUAAAUUGACUCAACUCCUCUCAAAAUCUAGGUUUUGGUCAUUUCUUUCAACUUCUCGUUGCAACUGUAAAUUUAUGGGACAAUCCAUAACUAUCAGAACGAGAUGAUUUAAGUGACCGAAGGACCAAUAUGAUACAUAAAAAGGUUCGAAGGGCUUUUUAAUUCAUGAUAGGGCUUUUUAAAGGGCUUAGCCCAUCAAGUAACAUAUGAAUACCGAAUAUGUUUUUUUUUUCUAUUUGAUUUAAAAUUGUUGAUUUAUCAAAGACAGUAGCUGAACUGAACCAAUAUCAAUUUUCGCUCUGCUUAUUUUCAUAAUUUUCUUUUUAUGUAUGGACAAAAUUUCUUUAUAUCAAAUCAACAAUUUUAUAUAACAAAGUUUUCUUUAUACUUGUUUAUUUCAUUUUGUCAUAUUAAAUCUCUGUUAAGACAGUGUUAAUCGACGUCUAUCUUAAGCCCAUAAAGUUUAGAGCUAACUUUGGACAAUGCUUAAGAGUUAAUACACAUAAUUAUUAUAUAUUCUAAACUAUUUAAUUAUUUCCAGAUAUCUAUAUAUGCUCUUCCUCAAUUUUGUUUAUUUUGUAAAUUUAUGGUUUAGAUAUAUAUAUAUAUUAAUAUAUAUAAUAUUUUAUGUAUAGGGGUGUGCUAUUUUUUUUAUUAAUCAAUGAUGUAUCUUUAAGAAAUAUAAUAAAAACAAAAAUCAUAUUCGUUUAUGAAAUUUUUUAUUAACAAGAAAAAAACGAAAACAUAAAUGUAUAAUUUAAAUUUUCAAAAUUAGUUGGUAAAUCUUACUGCCCCAUUUAAAUUGGACACUAGGUCCCCAAGUGUUGGGCAUGCCUUUAUAUGGUUUUUACUUUUAAUGACCAAAAAGUGUGAUAACCCCUCUUGGGUCCCAAACUUCCUUAAACAAUAAUUAUACAAAUAUGUUAAGAACAUAAGUAAAAUAAAAAAGAAAAAAUUAUACAAUCUAAAAUGUUAAUAGGUUUAUAUGUAAAUUUACCAUUUAGCUAGAGUCAUUUACAAAUUUGUGAUAUUCUUACUAAACAUUGUAAAAUUAGAAUACGUACGACCAAAUAUGAACAUUGAACUUGUCACAUAUAUUGCCUCAUUAAGUAAUAAUACGUAUAUACUGUCAAUCUGUCAUCCAAAGAUAGGUAUAUUACUUUUCUUCGUUUUCAAGUAAAUAAAAGCCUCAUAUAGUACUAAACUAAUUAAUUAUGCUUACAAAAAUAUAGUACUUGGAUUGAGAUAUCAUAAAAGAUAUAAAUAUGUCUUUAAAACCUUACUCUUUAAAAUAGAAAACAGAAAACGUUCACUAGUCAAGUUAAUUCUUGUUAAACUCGACAAGACGUGAAAGUAAAUAAGGAUAUGUACAUGCAUUGUCGUCGAUCUUAUCGCAUCUUCUUCUUUAAUAAAUUUCUUGCUCAAGAUUACAACAUAUUUGUCGGCUCGACCACGAUAAUUCCCCAGAUAAAAUUUAAUAUUUUCUUUGCAGUUUUUUAGUAAACACCAAUGGUUUGCAUCUUUUGAAUAUUUUAAUGAAUUGGUGAAAUUGAGAUAAGUUUUACGUAUCCGAUUAAUAUAGAAGUUCCAAUGGCCAUAACAAAUAGUUGCUUCAUGGUUGCAUAUUUAUACUACAUAUAUCUAUUCUAUAUACCAACUUGUUUUUUAACUGCACGUUCUAUUAUAUAUUAUUAUUUAGGAGUUGUUUCAAGAAAAUAAAAUCAAAUGUCAAUGUUUCUUAUUGUUAAAAAAUUUCUAGUUCUUAGAAAAACUUUUAUCAUUUGAAAAAUUAUAUUAGUAACAUUUUAAAUGUUUUGACAUAGUGGAGUAUCUUAUCUAGUAUUCUUAGUAUGCUGACAUAAUCAUUAUGGUAAUUACUUUAUUGAAUUGGGUUUAUAUUGACAAACGUAAAGUUUGAUAAUUUCAUUUCAAUAAUUGUUGAUAUACUUUUCUCACAUUACGCUUAAACGACAAGGCACUAAACUAUCCAUGAUGUAACCCUCCAACAAAUCAACAUUUAUAUUUCCAAAUUUCCCCUUGCGGUCACCAAAAGCUAAUUACUUUCCUUCUUCUAUUUAUUUCAAUACUAAAACAUAAAAAGCCCAAUUCCAAAAGAUUACACUUGUCUUUAAAUAUUUUCGGCAAAUACUUAAGAAAUAAAUGAAGAAAAGAAUAACCGGCGUUGAAGAUUUUGGGUUUUUUUUUUACUUAGAGAGAGUAUAUAUGAAUUCUAUACUAUACUCCUGCUGUUCUUUAUUAAUUGAUUUUUUAGAAGAAAAAAAACUGUUUCAAAAAGAUUUAUUUUUAAGAUUUUUUUAUGCACUAUGUAUUAGUUAUUAUUGAUGAAUUUAUUAUUGAUAAAUUUUAAACUUCAAGAUAAGUAACUAAAUACCAUUGGUUUAUAAUUAUAGAAAAAUGUAAAUUACAAAGACUGAUACAUUUGUAAUCAAUUUUAAUAUAUUUUUUAAAUUUGUGUGUUUUUUAGAAAAUUAAUUUAAAAAACAGAUGGAGUAUAUAAUUGAUAAUUUUUUAGUUAUAUUAGAACCAGCAAUUUUAAAAAGCAAAGUUCUGGUUUUAGUUGAGUGAAGUGCUGUCCCUGACCUACAACAGUACAACCUAACAUACUAGUGUUUUAGACAUUAAUACUCAUUAACAAAAAUAUUUGUUUUAGACACUAAAACUGGACCGGGUUUGGAUUUGAGUAUUAUGUUUAUGUAUUUUUUGUUGGCGAAAAAUCAAUCUUUGUCUGAAAAGCUACAUAGCCUUGACUACUAUGGAAAAAGAAAAUUUAUCCACAAUGUUACAUGUAUCGUAUUUAACAAUUUAGAUAUAACAAACCAAAUAUAUAAUAGGAAUUUCGAUCACAUAUGUAUAGCACUUUCUUUUUUAUUGUUUUACGAACUUUUUUUGCUAGUUACCCGGUUCAUCAAAAUUUAAUUUGUUGACUGUGGGAGUCAUAUAUCUUGAGUUUGUUUGGCCAAUAAUCUAAAGCUAAUGGAUGAACGAUCAGGAAGAUGCAAACUACAUUAUCCAUCAAUUACUCCAAGUCGUGGCCAAAGGCAAUAUUUUCUCAUCAAAGUAAGAAUUCAACGUCUAACAAAUAUUCAAAUCAAUUUCUGCAUUUGCAGGGAAGGAGAAUGAAGAAAAUGAAGUGGCAAGCAGUGUAAAACUAUAUACGAUUAGAAAAAAUAUAACAAAUUUUAGCGAAUACGAUUAUAAAAUUAUAUACCCAACAUAUUCUUUGUAUGUAUAUUUUUUAACAUAAGUAGUGAGCAUUAAUGUUGUCGACGAAAAUUUCAUUGUUAGGUAGGGGCCAUAAUGAUAUGGAAGUGAUCUUCUGCUUAAUUAAUUGUAGUUUUAAAGUCCAUGACCAGUUCUUUUCAUUGAGAAAUAAAUUCCUCUCCAAUCUAAAUCUAGUUUUAGAUUUUUGUUUACCAUUUUUUUAUUUGAAUUUCCAUCAACCGAAAGAGCUUUUCUUUUGGUUUGCUUUAUUUCUUUUUUCAUGCUCUUUCAACCGUCAAAGUAACGUCUCUAGUCUCUUUGUCUACUUCAGUUAACAGUCUUCUACUCUCUCUCUUUCUUUUAUCUUUUCUCUUUUUGUUUGAACCUCUUGCCUUGAGGAACAAAGUGUUGAAACAUAAAUUAAGAGAUGCAAUUUGUAAGAAUUCAUACACACAAAAGAUAUAGUCGGAACAUUGGAUUAUGUUUUUCAAUCUAAGUAACGGAACAUAGGUUCAUAUACUGAAUUUGUUAAUGAUUUUUAAAAAAAAUCUCAUACAGUAUAUAUCGUUUGUAUAAAAUUUAUUAGAUUUAAGUGAUAAUUUGAUUGAUUAAAGGGAAGCUAAUCAUCAAUAUCAUGCUGAAUACUUUUGAUCAUGAGAGUUGCUUUUUGAUUAUAUUAUAACUAACUUCUUGGGAUGAUUAACUUAAAACUAUAUUAAUUUCAUUUUUAAAAUGGUUUAGUUAGGUAUACUAUUAACUCAUGGUUUGAUUGGUAAUUUUUAACCGCCUCGUCUGUAACCGAAACGCUUUGAAAGUUAUCAAUAAAUAAAGCGAUUAAAAGAAGCGGUUGGAAUAAGUAGAUUGUUGUAGAGAGAUGUUGGGAGAGAAAAAAAAAUAAGACGGUUGGAUUUGUUUUUUAUUUAUUUAUAAAUUCACAUAUAUUAAUCAUAAUUUAAUUUCUUUUUAUUAUUUUUAUUUCAACGUUCCUAUUAUUUGACCGCUUGUUAUCAAUCAUAACCAUAAUUUUACAGCUCAUUUUAAUUUAUUCACCUUCUCUUCUGCUUGCUCUAACAAUUUUGUUCAACAACUGCUAAAAAAACUGUUAACUAUAUUUGUGAACGAUGUUAUCAAUGGAACCCUCAGUCGUUUGGGUUGAGGAAAUUAGAAAGUAACAUUAUUAAGUCAGGGAGAGGUUACAAAAAGAAGGGACAAUAAUAGGUAAUCAAUAGGGUUGUUGCAUUCUUAAUUUGACAAAUUAACUACCACUGAUUUUUAUAAUUACAACAAGAGUUGACCAAUUGUAAUAAUAACACUCAUGAUGUAAUGACAAAAUUAUAUAUUGCAUGAGUAGUUUGUACAUUAUAUUUCGUAAAAAUGACUAAUUCAAGGACCCCAUAUAAUGAUAUAUAUACUCUACUUCUUAAGUAAAGUUACCCAAGUUUUGUUCCAAAAAAAAACGUAUAGUUACCUAAGUAUGACUAUUAGAAGGGGGCUAUUUAAUUUAAGGAUUGUCAAGAAAUAUUAAAAACUUUUCAAACAAGUGUUUUUUUAUAAUGUUAAUUUAUCCUCUUUACCUUUUAAUUCAAAUGUUGUUUUAUAUAUAACUUAAAUUUUGUUUGCUAACAAGUAUAGCUUUAGGUUUUCAAUAUAGAUUUUUGAUAAAACUAUCGUUUUAAUGUAUGAAUAAUGAAAAAAAAAUAAAUAUAAUAAUAACUUAAUAAGGGGUAAAAUCCAAAGUUUGUUUUAGAAAGAAAAAAAAAUAUGUGAAAAUUUUAAAUGACACUUACUGUGGAACAGGUGGAGUAUUACUCUUUAAUUAACCACAUUUUAGGUUAUAUUUUCCUAGACAAAGAAUCCAUAGGGAUAAGGAGUGAAUCCUGAACAAAACCCAAUUGAGCCCAAUGAAUAAAAAAGACAUCCAAAGUAGGUUUGAAGGAAAGGAUAGUCCAUGCUCCCUCCAUGUAGAGUGAGUGAUGGUAAGUAAAUGUGUCUUAUGAAGCUAUCGACACCAAGUUGGAGAUAAACAAAAUUGAAAAGCCAAUGUACGUAUGAUGUUGAUUCAGGAUUAAAAAUUUAUAAUAUGGUUAUAAAGUAACAUAUAUCGUGGAUUUGAAAUCUGAAAAAGUCACGUACUGUAUGUUGAAUAUGUAAGGUGUGUUAAUUGUAAAUCAUUAUAUAAUAACAGGUUCAAAGAAAACGAGUAGCCACCUGCCGAUGCAAAUUUUUUUUUGCCAAUUACAGACAAAUCAAAGAUUUGGGAUUGGAGAGGAGAAGAUCUAUUGAAACCGACACAUUAGGUCCAAAACAUUUCAUUUUAAUUAUUAUGAUUUAACGAAAUAGUAAAAUACAUAUAUCAACCUUUUUGGUCCGGUCCCUGUUCUUACGUCUGUGAUCAUAAAGUAUAGAGUGAUUUUUUAUUUUUUUUCAUUAUACAAAUUACAAAUGACUAAUUUAAUUAAUUAGUGAACUUUUAAUUUGUCGAUAACCAAUAAGAAUGAUGGAAAACGGCAAAAGAGUCGACUGUUGAAGUUUGUCGGAAAGACACUCCACCAAAAUAUAAAUACAAAUCUUAUCACUAGUGGAAACUGUCGAGUGUGUGUAGUUCUCUUUUCCUUCUAAUAAAAGAAUAUUAUCUUUCUAAAUUCUUCCAAAUUCAUUUUGGAAUUUUCUUUCCUUUUUCUUUUUGUUGACAUGAAAUUUUGGAGUCUUCUUCUAUCGCCAAUUACGACUAAAAAAACGAUUUUAUAUAUAUCAACAUAGCUCUAACAAGAACAUGAUAAUCGCAAAUAUACAUAGAUUUGCCUAUUUGUACACAAGCAAAGUUAGUUUUAAUACUCAGUAUAUUACAUCUCAUGAAAAGAAUUUACAGUUUUUUCUAUUAAAGCUGUGGGAGUUUUCUUCUAAAAUGUUUUUUUUUGUCGUCCUUGUAAAAUGUUCUACAUUCGUCAUUUUCAGGCUAUCUUUGAUUUCGAAAGCUGUGGGCGUUUUCUUUUUUUAAUUUUUUUAAUUUUUUUUUUUUUUUGUCUUUUUCUACGAAAAUAAAAUAGCGUGCACUGUAUUGUUUCUUUCAACUUUAUUUUUUGACUAGUGAAAGACUAGACAUUUUGUUGCCCUGCCCCUAUAUUUUUUGUGUUUAUUUUAAGGUUGUUUUUUCUCUUUUUAUAAUGACCGUAAAAUGAGUUUUUACAAAAUCUGCUUCAAAUAUGUAAUGAAAACCUUGAUAAUAUGUAAAUGUACUAAAAACAAAAUCUUGAUAUGGGUACAUGUGAAAAUAGUAUAUUUCUGUUCUAAGAAUAUACUGUUUUAUGUUCUAAAAUAUCAACAAAUAGAUAUCUUUGCAUUUUUUUUUAUACAUCAAUAUUAGUAUUACCUACAUUGUCUAAGAGAUGUAACCCAACUUAUGUCGCAACUAGAACUACAUCUCAGAAAUCACCGAGCCGAGAGAAAAUUGUAAGAGUCCUCGACCAGCAAAACGUAGGAACAUCAACUCAAAGCAGUCGAGAAUAAGAACCACUGACUUGCAUCAAAACAGAAGAUCUAACCACACCACACAGAAUCCGAAAAGAAGACAUCCACCAUCGUUUAAACUUUCAACCCUUGACCCAACCACCGGUGAUAAAGACUUGUCCAUUAUAGUUUACUAAAGUUUAUGAUCAAACUUAAAAUAUCUGUUGUUAGAUUGAUACCUCUAAUUCCUUUGAAUUGCUUCUUAGAUUUCCACUUUACCCUUCCACGAUUUUUAAGCAAUGGAAAAUUAAGUUUCAUUUGUUUCAGAUUUUAAUAUUAAUCCCCUUCUAUGCAAAUUGAGGGACCACGUAGAAAGUUGUGAGAAUCUCAAUACACAAAAGAUAUAGAAACAAUGAUUACAUGCACAAGCACGAGGCCAUAAAUUUCCUUAUCCUAUACACAUUUUCAAUAAAGAUGUAACAUUCCAAACAGAAAACCCUCUUGUAGCUCACUCUACAAAAAAAAGAGUAUAGAAUUCCAAUAUUAAAGUUUAUAGGUCGACUAUUUCAAAACCAAUUGCUAUAAAGUAAAUUGAUUAAUAUUUUUAUACUCUCUUCGAUUUAUAAUAUAAGUUGUUUUGGACCAAUUUUUUUGUUUUACAAUUAAAUUGUUUUUAAGUUUUUAUGCAAACUAUAUAUUUAUUUUAAUAUUUUAUAAUUAUUUAUAUUAUGCAGUCUCUUUUGUGAUUGGUUGAACUUUUUAAAAGUAAAUAUUCUUAAUCUUCGUACUUUUAGGUAAAACAACUUAUAUUGUGAAACGGAGGGAGUAUAUCAUUUACAAUUUCUCUUUAUUUAGUUUUGUGGUGAUUCCGAAUAUUAAUUACAACUUGUACCAUUUAAUUCAACCAUAUUCGAAGAAAACAUUAAAGGCAAAACAAAUUAAGGGGAAAAAGAAAUCAAAAGUUAAAAAAAAAAAUUAAGACCAAUGAGAAUAGAUAAGGGGUAAAAGACAAAAAGAGAAUAUAAAAAAAACAAAUAGCAUUUGGCGCCAAAAGUAAAACUAAAAUGGUCAUGUCACGUGAUGUUAAUUUUUGCUCUACGACCAAAGCAAAACAAACCUAAAGUUUUCCAAAUCUCUGGGUCCCACUCUCAGAUGUGCUGACUUUUAUUUUUUUUACUUUUGUCUUAAAUCUUUGGAAAUUUUCAGUUUUAAUUUAAUUUAAUUCAUCUCUCUUUCUCACUCUAUAAAUCCCCACAGAUCCGUCACACUUCACCUAGAGACCCUCCCACAGCUUUCUCGAUAACUGACAAUCCAACGGUUGAGAUUCAGUUCUUCUAGAUAAAUUCACAUAUCCAAAGGACACGUGGCGGCGAGAGAUGAAAGAAAGUAGCCGGAAGCAAGGAGCUGCGUCACCGUGUGCUGCGUGUAAGCUUUUGCGGCGGCGGUGCGCUCAAGAUUGCGUUUUCUCGCCGUAUUUUCCGGCCGAUGAGCCUCAGAAAUUUGCUAAUGUUCAUAGAGUGUUCGGUGCUAGCAACGUCAACAAGAUGCUUCAGGUUUCUUUCUUCUUGUUCUUCUUAAGAAUAUCUAAAACGUGCUUACUCAUAUGUUGGGUUAGGUUUAAUUAGGAUGAUUUUCUUGUUUCUUAUUUUAGAUGAGACAUUACUAUCAUUUCCAUAACUUUUUAUUGACAACUACCACAUGGGCCGACCCGUUUAUAUUAUAAGUUUAGGGAUUUAAAAACAAAAUUGUUGAAUUUUAAGAAUUUAGGAAUAUGUUACAUUUAUUAGCUGAUGUUGAAUUUUAACCAUAUUAACUUUUGUUAGCUAAUGUUAAUGAUAUGAUUUACAUUUCUUAGCUAGCUGAUGUAGAGUCUACAUUUGAGAUGGAUUAUAUAAAUUUUAUAUAGUCUUGCGAGAUUAAUUGGUCUAGUGGCUGACAAAAUGUUUUAAAAACUCAACAGGAAUUACCAAUCCACCAGCGAGGGGACGCUGUGAGCAGCAUGGUUUACGAGGCUAAUGCAAGAGUGCGGGAUCCGGUUUACGGUUGCGUUGGGGCAAUUUCGUCCCUCCAGCAACAGAUAGAUGUGUUGCAAGCUCAGCUAGCUCUAGCUCAAGCUGAGGUGGUGCAUCUACGUGUACGCCAGUCGACUAAUUUCCCAGGGCACGGACUAUGCCCGGAUAGUCCGAGUAGCAGCGGGUCACCGUCUUCGAAGCAAGUGAGUCCACAGGACAACAAGGGCAUGUUUAGCCAUAUGGACAUUGUGGAUGAAGCCAGUUUGGGAGAGUCUAUGUGGUCUUGCUAGUCAAUAAUGCUCUCUUUCUGCUACUGCAAUUUCCUCUUCCUUUUUUGGGAAAUUUCGGGAUUAUUAUAUAUUAAAUUUAGGGGUAGGAUAUGAAAAUGCUCUGUUUUGACUACAGAGUGAAAUUAUUAACAUGAUAUAGAUACAUAAAAAUACUAAAUAUAUUUAUAUAUUAUAAAUCUCUCUCUAUAUAUUUAUUAGUAUUUGUAACUUUGUAAUUCCGGGGUAUUUGGGAUUUGGUGUAUGUGUAGGACCUUUGGAUCAUGAUCCGGUAGGGUUAUUUUGAUCAUUUCCAACCGAGGAGGGAUCUUUGUUAUUGACCUAAUGUAAAUUUGUGAGAUAUAUUAUUUAUCUAUAUCUAUAUACAAUUAUGAUCAUGUAACCCAUGGUGUGUGCUUGACUCUGUGAGCAUAUUAUCGUGUAAUGGUCAUCUUUGAUACUAGCUAAGUCUAGCUUAGCAAUUAGCACUAAGCACUUGUAUGGGCCUGAAUUUUUAUUAUGCAAACUUAUGGCCCAUUUGUCUUUAUUUUUUGGUUUCCUUGCAAACAUUUGCCAUUUGAUAGUCGCUGAUAGAAUCGCUCGCAUAUGAAGGAAACAGAAAGACCGGACCGGAGCAUGUGCUUGUGGUAAGAAAUUUACAGUGAGCUUAAGAAGAAACACAAGUAAUUUAGUCUAUUAUAGUUCAAGAGCUUCUCCUGCAUUCAUGCAAAUGCAAGAGUGGUAAAAUAGCAUUAUACUAAGUAAAUUUGGUUAUGCUCCUGUGCGUUAUAUCAGGAUAUUCCCUUCAAGCAAUUGAGCUUCACAUAGCAAUCACUAGACCGCAAAAUCACAAUCUGUCAAUCACCAUUUUAGCCAUAAUUCUUUCUACUUGCGCAAUCCAAAUUUUAUAAGGUUUUCGACAAUGCAUUGUUUUUCAAUAAGUACAAUGGAAAACAAAGAGAUUAGAGAGAGUAACACAAAAGCAGAAAACAAGUUCCCUUUUUAAACAUCCUUAGCAAUGAGAUCACCAUUGAGAAACUCUCUGUAGGCAGCAACGGGCCAAAUGAAACCACGGAAGAUGAUCCGACUAGCCAAAGGAACAUCGAUGAUGAUCUCUUUCAUCGCGGGUUUCUUCUCACCACUAAUAGCUAUUAAGUAGCUUCUUCCAACCCACCCGAUCCAUCCAGCAAUGUAGAGGAAAAGAAUCCCUGGAGUAAUGAACUCUCCCCAAUGCCGCUGGUCUCCGUUCACUAUCAAGUGCGGUAAACCGUCUGACCCGCAUAACAAUCCGUACUUCCCGUAGUUGUCGAACCUAACAUACAUUCAUAAGCACAUCAACUUCAAACCAAUCCACAGUUCCACAAGCUCCUCAAUAGAUCAUAUCAAUGAUCAAAUUUAACAUGUCUAGCAACUUCGAAAACUCACUAACUCACCAAAAAAAUCAUACUAAAGCAAUGGAUCUAGCAAGUAAUUCACUAAAACAGAGAAAAACUCUGUUUCAGAACAGAGGAAAGCUCUGUUUCAGAACAGAGAAAAAGCUCUGGUUUAACGAAGAAAUAGAAAUGGAAGACGAACCUGCGUUUGGUUUUCUCGAUCUGAGCAUUGAGAGCAAGAGCAGGGGCAGAUUCAGGAGCGUAGAGCUUAAGAGAAGAUUCAAGCUUCUUGAUCUGUUGCUUCUCUCUUUUAGCGAACUGUUUUGAGUCCUUGCAAGGAGUCAAACCUGAGAUAUCAGCGACAGCUGGCAUAGGAGCAGAGAGGAGGAUGGAAGAGAGGGCGACGGCGGCGGAGAAAGCUUUCAUGGAUUGAGGUGUGGAGGAGGAGGAUUUGUCAUCGGAGCAGACGAAUCUUGCGGAGGAUUUAGGUACGGAUUGAGUGAGAGAUUUGUUAGAUCUCGGGUUGAGAACGAGAUUCGCCGGGAUAGUGAGCGACAUGGCGCUUUGUCGGGUUCUUUGGAGAUUUCGAAUUCUAGGGUUCUGGA
rnacentral:lncRNA from 1 species